CCUACGGGUGGCUGCAGUGGGGAAUAUUGGACAAUGGGGGGAACCCUGAUCCAGCCAUGCCGCGUGUGUGAAGAAGGCCCUCGGGUUGUAAAGCACUUUCAGUGAGGAAGAACGCCUGGUGGUUAAUACCCAUCAGGAAAGACAUCACUCACAGAAGAAGCACCGGCUAACUCCGUGCCAGCAGCCGCGGUAAUACGGAGGGUGCGAGCGUUAGUCGGAAUUACUGGGCGUAAAGCGCGCGUAGGUGGCUUGAUAAGCCGGUUGUGAAAGCCCCGGGCUCAACCUGGGAACGGCAUCCGGAACUGUCAAGCUAGAGUGCAGGAGAGGAAGGUAGAAUUCCCGGUGUAGCGGUGAAAUGCGUAGAGAUCGGGAGGAAUACCAGUGGCGAAGGCGGCCUUCUGGACUGACACUGACACUGAGGUGCGAAAGCGUGGGUAGCAAACAGGAUUAGAUACCCGAGUAGUC
rnacentral:rRNA from 1 species